UCUUCCUUCCCAUUUUUCUUUAUUUCCGUUUCUCUUUUCUUCUACAGAACCUGCGUUCUCUUCUUUCUUUCUUCCACUUAUUUUGAUCACUUUCAUUUUCUUUUUCUCCUACAGCUCUAACGCUCUUCUUCCUCACAUAAUCACCUUCUCUUUAUUUUUUUUCAUUCAUUUCCUCCUUAUUUUCCAAGAGAGGCCGAGAGCAAAGGGAGGAAGAGGAUUCAAGCACCGUUUCUUCGUUUCUUGACCGAUCGUCGCACUGACAGUCGCUACGCGUAGACCUCGAGGUUCGUUUAUGGAGACCUUGGGCUUCACUGAGCAAGCUUGUGAGCGUGACUUACACCGUGAUUCUGGAGGAACUAGAGUCGGCCAGCUGCCAGACGUUCGACAACUGGUUUGUGAUGAUUCGUCACUCGGGGAGGACCAGGAGCGUAAUGACCAUUACUGAAGUUUCGACGAGGACUCGGACUGAAUGCAAGACCAGAUGAGGAUCGAUGAUGGAAGUAUAGGGUAUGGGUGUUUAGAGCCUACUAAGGUUGGGUGUUAGUGUCAUAGCUCUGAUUUUCAUUUCUUAUUUUGGGGCAGGGUAGGUCCCCGACUAUUAGCUUUUUGUGUGGUACUCUUCCAUGAGGAUCACAGGGAGUUUAUCGGACGUAGGAGGUCCUUUGGAGGCCAUUUGGGGCUGACUUACUUUCUUGGAGGACUGUAUUUAUAAAACUUAUGACUCUGGAAAUGGGUCGCACUUGUUUGCCUGCGGGCACCACUUUCAGUUACUUGAUGUUACUUUCCGUCACUUGAGGACACUCGUGACGAUGAUUUUGGGUUGCAGCGAGGGUUGUGCUUUUAUUGUAUAUUAGUCGUUGUUAA